rnacentral:rRNA from 1 species
GACGAACGCUGGCGGCGUGCUUAACACAUGCAAGUCGAACGGUGAAGGGACCGGUUUUUGCUGGUUCUGGAUGAGUGGCGAACGGGUGAGUAACACGUGAGUAACCUGCCCCCUUCUUCUGGAUACCCGCAUGAAAGUGUGGCUCCUACGGGAUAUUCUGCGCCUGCUGCAUGGUGGGUGUGGGUUCGAUAUUGUUUCGGUGGGGGAUGGGCUCGCGGCCUAUCAGCUUGUUGGUGGGGUGCUGGCCUACCAAGGCGGUGCCGGGUAGCCGGCCUGAGAGGGUAGCCGGUCUGACAGGGAGAGAGACACCGCCGAGACUCCGACAGGGGGCAGCAGUGGGGGGGAGUGAGCAGUGGGGGAAAGCGUGAUACAGCGGCGCCGCGUGAGGGAUGGAGGCCUGCGGGGUGUAAACCUCUUUCGCCAGUGAAGCAGGCCUGGCCCUUUUGUGGCGGGAUUGACGGUAGCUGGAUAAGAAGCGCCGGCUAACUACGUG